rnacentral:misc_RNA from 1 species
UGGCAAUCUCCCUCCUGCAUAACAAGAUGUGGUCAACCGUCAGCCAUAAAUUUCGGAGGCAAUCAUUCAUUUCUUGCAAACAAAUGCAGAUGUGAGAGCAUAUUCAUUUUUCUUUUUAGGUAUUGCCCAGAAAUUCACCUGGAUUGUGAUCACCAAAAAUGAUUUCUGCAAGUGCUAUCCCACCAGCUUCACCAGGAUAACCUGCCCACAAAAUGCUUCCAAUGUUCUUAUCAUUCUUAGCAAAAGAUAUAUCAACGGGAC